rnacentral:lncRNA from 1 species
UAAAUGGUUCUUCCUCUUUACUAUUUAGAAACGAGGCCCAAUUAGACACUGUUCGGCUCUCGUCUCCUAAAUAUUGUUUCAAACAAAUGCUAGAUGAAAAAGAAGGUUUUUUUUAUGUUAAAAUCAUGUUAAGGAACCACUUUUACUUUCCUAGAUUUAACGAACAACUCUUGACACUGUUGGGUUUUCUUAGUUUGGGAAACAACAAGGGAAUUCUCAAUUCAGAUUUUCGCUCCCAAAACCAGUUUUCUUCAAAAAAUUCGAGAGCAAGACGUACGGUAGAGUAAUCAGAUGGUGGAGUAUUUGAUUAUAUCUUGAGCGGUAACAACCUGCAUCGCCAGAUCUCACUUAUCAGAGUACUGUUUUUCUGUCACUCUCCUUUCAUCCAUUGAAUUGGGAGGCUUUUUUGUGCCUUUUUGUUAAAUUUUUUUUUAUAUAAGUAAAAGACUAAUCUCAUUAAAAGCGUAAGGCGUCCCUAAGUAUACAAUAAGUAUACAGAAUAAACAUCUAACUAGAAAGAGCAAAACAAACUAAGAAAUCACUAUAGUUAAGCAACAAAGGAGAAUCAAACGUGGCUGUCCAAAACAAAAAAUAAUAUAUCCUUACAGUUCAUCAGGUAUCCCAGUUCCAAAGAAAAAGUGGAAUAAAACAGAACUAGAAAACUCUCAGUAACCUAGAAACGAGGCCCAAUUAGACACUGUUCGGCUCUCGUAAUAGGCCCAAACAAGCCUCGGGUUGGGUUCAUAUCCGGGUACCGUUUUGGAAGGAUUAAAUUUAAACAAUAAUCCAAAACAAAAGAAUCAAGAACCCAUCAAAAGCACAAAACCCAUAGGCAAAAACACAGCACCGACCACUCAAAUCUGAGAAAAUCAAAUUUUAUAUAUAUAGAGAGAGAGAGAGAGAGAAUAAUUUGGUGAGUGAACAGUACUUACUAAGUACUCUUCACUCACCAAAGCAAUGUUAAGGAACCACUUUUACUUUCCUAGAUUUAACGAACAACUCUUGACACUGUUGGUGUUUUCUUAGUUUGGGAAACAACAAGGGAAUCCGUUUCAUGGGUUUUUUAAGAGUUUUUCUUACAUUUAGGAAAAUGACUGGAUUUUAGGGAAGGGUAGUCAUUGCUAUUGCGGUUAAACUCUAAAAACUGUUCCCAUUCAAAAGCAACAACCUCUUCAAAAAAAUCAAAGAGAAAACAUCAAAGUCCACCGUUCCCAAUUACAGCACUAAAAACUGUUCCCAUUCCUCUAUUGCUAGUACCACAAAAACAGAAGCGUGUUUUGGUUAGAAUAGUGAGUAUGCUAUAAAGUAUCGUAAAAUAAAAAUAAAAUUUCUUCCAACAACCUCUCAUUGUCUUCAAAGUUCCUAUCAUUCAUUUUUCCUCACAAAACACCAAAACAGGCAAGUAUGCACCAUUUUUCACACUACAACUUUCAUUCAUAAGAUGGUUCUUCCUCUUUACUAUUUAGCAAUAUCUAAUUCAAAAGCAACAACCUCUUCAAAAAAUCAAAGAGAAAACAUCAAAGUCCCCACCGACGGAGACGCUCGACAGAGGCAUUCUUAGUGCGGGUAAUAUCGAAAGGGCCAGACGACUCCUCGUCGUCUUCGGAGGGUGGAGCUCUGUUGGAAUGGCUUCCACCGGCCUCCAAAUCCGUGUUGCGCUGGCCUUGAGGCGAUCUCUUGAAGUUGCUCAUUACUGUCGCAGGAGAGAUGGCACCGUCACACUCUAAUUACGUCUCUUCUCAAUACGCAUCAAAUCCACAAACAAAAUCCCUCUCACAAUCUCAAAAAAAAGAGAGAGAGAGAGAGAGAGAGAGAAUUUCAGGGUUGUAUAGUUUACCGGAGCUGAAAAACGGUGUAACCAAACACAAAACUCUUCACCUGCACAAUUUACCUUCCCUUCCUCUUCCUCGUCCCACUUAUUUUUUUGUCUUUUCUCCCCGAGAAAAAAAUAAUAUAUCACUUACAGUUCAUCAGGUAUCCCAGUUCCAAAAAAAAGUUGGAAAAAAACAGAAACCCAAAACAAAAGAAUCAAGAACCCAUCAAAGCACAAAACCCAUAGGCAAAAACACAGCGCCGACCACUCAAAUCUCAGAAAAUCAAAUUAUAUAUAUAUAUAUAUAUAGAGGGAGAUAGAUAGAUAGAGAGAGAGAGAGAGAGAGAGAGAGCAUCGAAGACGUACCCUUUUACUUUCAUUCAUAAGAUGGUUCUUCCUCUUUACUAUUUAGCAAUCAUCCGUUUCAUGGGUUUUUUAAUGGCACCGUCACACUGUCACUCUCAAACACUCAUCUUUUUUAGUUUUUUCCCCCGUCAGAUUCACUCUAGCCCUAGAAAACUCUCAGUAACAAACACUCAUCUUUUUUAGUUUUUUCCCCCGUCAGAUUCACUCUAGCCAAUAACUUCUUCUAAUUACGUCUCUUCUCAAUACGCAUCAAAUCCACAAACAAAAUCCCUCUCACAAUCUCAAAAUUAGCACUUAACUUUCAUCCAUUGCUGGAAAGUUCCUAAUGUGAAUUCAAAAAAUUCGAGAGCAAGACGUACGGUAGAGUAAUCAGAUGGUGGAGUAUUUGCCGUUCCCAGUUACA